rnacentral:tRNA from 1 species
GCGGGUUUAGCUCAGUUGGGAGAGCGCCAGACUGAAGUUAGACUUCGGUCACAUGGGUAAUCUGGAGGUCCUGUGUUCGAACCACAGAACUCGCA